UCCUCCCUGGGUGAUUUAAGGGCAGCGCGGAAAGUCCGCCGUGCAAAGUGGACGGUUCCGCGGGGCUUGAUGGCUGCGUCCGGGACGCUGAGUACUUUCCGACUCCCGCCGUUGCCCACGAUUCGAGAAAUCAUUAAGUUGUUCAGGCUGCACGCCGCGAAGCAACUGUCCCAGAAUUUUCUCCUGGACUUGAGGCUGACAGAUAAAAUUGUAAGGAAAGCUGGCAAUUUGACAAACGCUUAUGUUUAUGAAGUGGGCCCUGGGCCAGGAGGAAUCACAAGAUCAAUUCUCAAUGCUAAUGUUGCUGAACUUUUGGUGGUUGAAAAGGAUAGUCGAUUUAUUCCUGGACUACAGAUGCUAUCUGAUGCAGCACCUGGAAAACUGAGAAUUGUCCAUGGAGAUGUGUUGACAUUUAAGAUAGAAAGGGCUUUUCCAGAAAGUCUUAAAAGACCUUGGGAGGAUGAUCCUCCAAAUGUACAUAUUAUUGGGAAUCUGCCUUUUAGUGUAUCAACUCCGCUGAUUAUUAAGUGGCUUGAAAAUGUCUCUUGUAGAGAUGGACCUUUUGUUUACGGCAGAACCCGGAUGACACUGACUUUUCAAAAGGAAGUGGCAGAGAGACUGACAGCCAAUACAGGAAGCAAACAGCGUAGUCGCCUUUCUGUUAUGGCCCAGUACCUCUGCAAUGUUCAGCACAUCAUGACAAUUCCUGGUCAGGCUUUUGUCCCUAAACCAGAGAUAAGGAAGGACUCUGAGGUGGUCAGAUCACCCUCUGCCGCACAGGUUCUCAGCAGCAGUGCCCUGGUCUUCCGCCUCUCCCCACCUUUACCCCAGUAUUCCUUGGUGAGAGCCUCUCCGUGUGCUCCCCCGAGAAGCAGAGAAAAUGCUACAUCUGGAGGCAGAAAGCACCAUUAACUAUCAACUUCAUUCACUCCCUGUUCCACCAAGAAAAGAACCCACUUGAGACGGCAUUAACAGGACAAAUGGCUUAGCCUUAUAGACUCACGCAAGGAGGUUGAUGCCUGGCUUCUAUAAAAUAUCUGAAGUAAUUCUAAUCUAUGCCUGUAUUAAAAGUACAUACUUAACGUAGUUAAAACAUUGGUUCUCUAAGAAGUUAAAACCCUGGGCUGUCUAAAUUCCCUUGUUCUAUUUUUGUUCACAGUCUUAAAAUGCAACAAUUUUAGGGGAGGUUUUCCUGAAAUUUUAAAUUCUUAAGUAUCAGAUUGAUAUACACAUCAGAGUACUUAGGCUUUAUGUGCAACCAUAUAGUUCAUUUCUUUUCUGUUUUCCAAAUUUCUUUUCAUAUCUGAGACCAAAAUAGAAGUUAAAGAUUCUAGAAAAAAAUGAAGCGUGCUUAUAGUUUCGUAAUAGCUGUUUUCAGGUUUGGGUUUUAACAUUUCAGACUCCAGCCAGUUCACUAAAUUACUGCCUUCCCAGACCAUUUUCAGCUUAGAGUUUCCUCAACGUCGAGAUUGCUGUUAACAUUCUCUAAGAGCAUCUCAUUUCUCUUUUUUUCUUACUGUGGUUGAGUAACCUUUAUGUGUUCAUCAGUCUAUGCUCAGCUUCCCAAUUAUAACCUUUUUCUUCCCAUUAACCAAUACAUUUUAUAAAUUUCAGUGUAAUUCAGGCUUGCAGACAGCUUGUUCAUCUUAAUUAACAAGUACUGGCAGUGAUAAAUUACAGACAGCCAAAAUCAGCGUAAACAAUAUGACAUUGCAUUCAGUUCGCAUAGUGCUCGCUUACUGUUGAAUAUUGGCUUUUAAAUGCUUUCUUCUGCACAGAGAACUUAUGCAGAAAGAAUUUGUCCUCCACAAUGAAAGUCACUAUUCUGUUCCUUUGUAAAAAUAUACUGGCAUCUUAGCUAUAUUGUUAUGAAGUCUUUUUUUCCUUUCCAGCCACAAGUAUGAUACAGUUUGUGGCCUGUUCUCUCAAUUUCUAUCUGAUGCAGAAUAAAAGCAUACUUUGUUUCGCUGGUGGUGGUGGUGGUGAAAUGCUCUGAAAGUAAGCAGAAGCAAUGGGGUCACAGCGGAAGAAACCUGCCAGAUCCCUUUAGUGCUUUGCCUCGCUUUGCUCUCUGCCAUGGUUGUCAAUACAGAUUCACCUGUGGUGAGGCUUCCUGAUGGCAGGUGGAGGGGCCAACCUGCUCCCAGCUCUGGCCUCCAGGGUGGACGUGGGUGUGGUGCACUUCACCCCCCUGGUGCGGCCCAGGAUAGAGCAGCCGUUCAAGCUGGUGGAGAAGGUGGUUCAGAACACGUUUCAGUUCCGAAGGAAGUACUGCUAUCGAG